ensembl:lncRNA
UAAUUGAAGAAGGGAGGAAAUACAGCCAUCUGUAUGACUCCUCUUUGGGAGAUUACAAAGUCUGCCAGAUGGCAGUGAAUUCGUGGGGGGGGGGUUUCCUCCAACGUCGGUUUAGAUGUAGCGGAGUGCAUGAAGAGAUGGAAGAACUCUCGAGACAAGUACGUUCGUCUCCAUAAAAAACUCGCCACAAGGAGCGGGGAUCAAGGAGGAAAAAAAAUCCCAGCAUUUUAUUUAUUCCUAUCUUGGCUGGCACCUCAUGUCAAACAUCGGCUUACGGAGUCAAACUUUGACGAUAAGGAUGGGACUGAUACCAGCUCAAACUCCACUGGUUUAUCGGAUGUGAGACCUCCAGCCAACAGCGAUGAUGACCAAUUACCAAGUGGUAGCCCCCAUCACCAGCCAUCUCUUCCGUCCCCGCAGCCAUCUCUUCCGUCCCCGCAGUCAUCUCUUCCGUCCCCCAGUCCAAGAAUGGCACAAAAAAGGAAGAGAAAAGAAAAAGAUGACUGGGUCCAAGUGCAGGUUGCUCGGUUGGAGGCUCAGUUGGAGGAACGGCGGGUGGAGCUGCAACAGAGACUGUGUCAAGGCAAUGAUGAGAGCGACCGGUUUGGACAAACUGUUGCAGAUAUGCUGCGGAGGGUGCCGGAGGACCACAGAGCGCAGGCAAUGUUCGACGUGUCAAAGAUACUUUUUGAGUGGCAGCAAAAAAACAAACAAUUGUGUCUACUUUGACAACGUUCAACCUUUUAAUUCUGCGCAUAUAGAAAUGCACUGUAUCUGCAGUUUGCACUUUUGCUUUUUUUUGUUUUUUUUUUUUGUAUAUAAUUUGCACUUUUGCAUCCAUUAAUAUUUAUCUUGUUUUACUCUUUGUGGAGGGUAUAAAGUUUGCACAUUUUUGUAUAUAGUAUGUACUUUAGCUUUUUUAUUUAUUGUCUGUUCACACCAAUUCAUGCAGGUUAUACGGUAGUUUGCAUCAUUUGUGAAGUUUCUCUUUUGCAUCUAUUUUUGAUAAUAAUUGUAGAUCAUUGCACAUUAAUACAUUGCACUGUCAUGCCCAUAUUUGUAUAUAGUUUGCACUUUUUAUAAAAAAAAAAAUACUGCUGUUUCCAAAAAUGUGUGAAGGUUAUUGCAAAUAAACAUUAACAUAUAGUUGCA